AGCCAGCGGACGAGUCCCAACUAGGAUGAAAUGCGCAUCCUGGAU
rnacentral:hammerhead_ribozyme from 1 species